rnacentral:rRNA from 1 species
GACGAACGCUGGCGGCGUGCUUAACACAUGCAAGUCGAACGGUAAGGCCCUUCGGGGUACACGAGUGGCGAACGGGUGAGUAACACGUGGGUGAUCUGCCCUGCACUUCGGGAUAAGCCUGGGAAACUGGGUCUAAUACCGGAUAGGACCAUUGCCUGCAUGGGUGGUGGUGGAAAGCUUUUGCGGUGUGGGAUGGGCCCGCGGCCUAUCAGCUUGGUGGUGGGGUGAUGGCCUACCAAGGCGACGACGGGUAGCCGGCCUGAGAGGGUGACCGGCCACACUGGGACGGAGAUACGGCCCGGACUCCUACGGGAGGCAGCAGUGGGGAAUAUUGCACAAUGGGCGCAAGCCUGAUGCAGCGACGCCGCGUGAGGGAUGACGGCCUUCGGGUUGUAAACCUCUUUCAGCAUCGACGAAGCGCAAGUGACGGUAGGUGCAGAAGAAGGACCGGCCAACUACGUGCCAGCCGCCGCCGUAA